rnacentral:rRNA from 1 species
GGGAAGUAGCUUGCUACUUUGCCGGCGAGCGGCGGACGGGUGAGUAAUGUCUGGGAAACUGCCUGAUGGAGGGGGAUAACUACUGGAAACGGUAGCUAAUACCGCAUGACCUCGUAAGAGCAAAGUGGGGGACCUUCGGGCCUCACGCCAUCGGAUGUGCCCAGAUGGGAUUAGCUAGUAGGUGAGGUAAUGGCUCACCUAGGCGACGAUCCCUAGCUGGUCUGAGAGGAUGACCAGCCACACUGGAACUGAGACACGGUCCAGACUCCUACGGGAGGCAGCAGUGGGGAAUAUUGCACAAUGGGCGCAAGCCUGAUGCAGCCAUGCCGCGUGUGUGAAGAAGGCCUUAGGGUUGUAAAGCACUUUCAGCGAGGAGGAAGGGUUCAGUGUUAAUAGCACUGUGCAUUGACGUUACUCGCAGAAGAAGCACCGGCUAACUCCGUGCCAGCAGCCGCGGUAAUACGGAGGGUGCAAGCGUUAAUCGGAAUUACUGGGCGUAAAGCGCACGCAGGCGGUUUGUUAAGUCAGAUGUGAAAUCCCCGAGCUUAACUUGGGAACUGCAUUUGAAACUGGCAAGCUAGAGUCUUGUAGAGGGGGGUAGAAUUCCAGGUGUAGCGGUGAAAUGCGUAGAGAUCUGGAGGAAUACCGGUGGCGAAGGCGGCCC